AUGACCUAUGUUGUGUUGAAGGGAUAUCUAUAUGAUCCGAUCGAUUGCAUAAGACCCGCGGUAGCAAUAGAACGGGGAAAGUAUACAGAAAAGACAGUUCUUUUCAAUUUCGAUUAUCUAUAUAUUAGUUCAUUUCUAUUUCUAGAUAUCUAUUUCUAUAUAUUAGUAUUAGUUAGUAGUACUAUUAGUUACCACGACAAGUUCAAGGGGUUGACUACGAUGAGACUUUCUCACCCGUAG
rnacentral:rRNA from 1 species